UACGUAGGCAGCAAGCGUUGUUCGGAAUUACUGGGCGUAAAGAGUGUGUAGGCGGUGCUCCAAGUCUGGUGUGAAAUCUCCCGGCUCAACUGGGAGGGUGCGCUAGAAACUGGAAUGCUAGAGGAUGGGAGAGGUAAGCGGAAUUCCUGGUGUAGCGGUGAAAUGCGUAGAGGUCCGGAGGAACACCAGCGGCGAAGGCGGCAUCCUGGACUGGUCCUGACACUCAGGAGCGAAAGCGUGGGGAGCGAUCCGG
rnacentral:rRNA from 1 species